CAGAUGCUGUAAGCGGUGUGCAUUGGAUUAUGUCCUCCAAAAAUAGAAGACGACUAAGGAGUAGAAAAACCCAUCAACACGCACCUAAAGUUUUUGAUGUAUUGUGAGGACGCCUGAGCUCCCAUUCUGAACUUCUAAACUUCUAAACAAGUACAGUUUCUGCCUUGUAACUGAGGACUGCAUAUGGUGGAUUGACACAGAUCAUGGCCUCAUCAGCCAUUCUCCAGAUCAUGCUCUCCCUGGAAGCUGCCUCAUCCUGAGAGAGAGAAUCGAACUAGCCCAUCUCAUCUUCUCUCACCUAGAUGUGUACUGGAUCACUGGAUUAUUGAGGACUUCUUAGUCUUCACUGGAUUUUAUUCAUUUUGCAUCUUCAGGAGGGAAUGUGGAAUGCAGUAGUAGUUCUCAAAACUGAACUUUGACCACUGAUUUCCUUUUUUUCACUGAGUAUGUAUUAGCUUUUCCCAGAACUCAUUUUGUAGACUAAUAUAGGAGAUGCUGCCUUGGGAACUUUUUAUGUUUUAUUUUUUAUUUAUUUUUAUUUAUUUAUUUUUAAGUAACCUUUACCCCCCAACACAGGGCUCGAACUCACAACCCUGAGAUCAAGAGUGCAC